rnacentral:snoRNA from 1 species
UCCCUCCAGUUUCCUUGCCCACCAUCUAGACACUGGUCUGAUGGGCUAUCAAGGAGGAGUAGAAUGGAAAUGCACUUCAGUGCUUUUGUGGCACGCAAGCUAGUUUCAAACCACA